rnacentral:tmRNA from 1 species
UUCCUUGAAGGGAACUUAAAUUUGUGUUACAAUGCCUGUGCUCGCAAGAGAUAUGACAAUAAACAUUCUCUCAUAAUAGACAUAUUGGACUCGGGGGCGGUACCCGACAUCUCCACCUAGAAAAAUUCAUUAUAAAGUUUUUCUUGUUGGGGAUGAAACAGGAUCGACAAGUGCAGUAAAAGUUUGAAUUUUGUCCGGUAUUAUACCACCGCAAAGGGUUAAAACUACAAAUGCAAACGACAAUUUUGCUUUUGCUGAUCUUAAAUUAGCUGCUUAAGUCCUCAGGGAUUUUAGCUGAUUUUUGAUUGCGGGGUUUGGCAGCGUUUUCCUAGCAACAGAAAAAUGCUGAU